UACGUAGGGGGCAAGCGUUGUCCGGAUUUAUUGGGCGUAAAGAGCGUGUAGGCGGCCACACAGGUCAGCUGUGAAAACUCGAGGCUCAACCUCGAGACGUCGGUUGAAACCGUAUGGCUAGAGUCCGGAAGAGGAGAGUGGAAUUCCCGGUGGUAGCGGUGAAAUGCGUAGAUAUCGGGAGGAACACCUGUGGCGAAAGCGGCUCACUGGACCACAACUGACGCUGAGGCGCGGAAAGCUAGGGGAGCAAACAGG
rnacentral:rRNA from 1 species